GUUUGAUCCUGGCUCAGGAUGAACGCUAGCGGCAGGCCUAACACAUGCACGUCGAGGGGUAUAUGUCUUCGGAUAUAGAGACCGGCGCACGGGUGCGUAACGCGUAUGCAAUCUACCUUUUGCAGGGGAAUAGCCCAGAGAAAUUUGGAUUAAUGCCCCAUAGUAUAAUGAUAAGGCAUCUUAUUAUUAUUAAAGUCACAACGGCAAAAGAUGAGCAUGCGUCCCAUUAGUUAGUUGGUAAGGUAACGGCUUACCAAGACGAUGAUGGGUAGGGGUCCUGAGAGGGAGAUCCCCCACACUGGUACUGAGACACGGACCAGACUCCUACGGGAGGCAGCAGUGAGGAAUAUUGGACAAUGGGCGCAAGCCUGAUCCAGCCAUGCCGCGUGCAGGAAGACGCAUCUAUGGUGUGUAAACUGCUUUUGUACAGGAAGAAACACUCCCUCGUGAGGGAGCUUGACGGUACUGUAAGAAUAAGGAUCGGCUAACUCCGUGCCAGCAGCCGCGGUAAUACGGAGGAUCCAAGCGUUAUCCGGAAUCAUUGGGUUUAAAGGGUCCGUAGGCGGUCAGAUAAGUCAGUGGUGAAAGCCCAUCGCUCAACGGUGGAACGGCCAUUGAUACUGUCUGACUUGAAUUAUUAGGAAGUAACUAGAAUAUGUAGUGUAGCGGUGAAAUGCUUAGAGAUUACAUGGAAUACCAAUUGCGAAGGCAGGUUACUACUAAUGGAUUGACGCUGAUGGACGAAAGCGUGGGUAGCGAACAGGAUUAGAUACCCUGGUAGUCCACGCCGUAAACGAUGGAUACUAGCUGUUGGGAGCAAUCUCAGUGGCUAAGCGAAAGUGAUAAGUAUCCCACCUGGGGAGUACGUUCGCAAGAAUGAAACUCAAAGGAAUUGACG
rnacentral:rRNA from 1 species